GAUGAACGCUGGCGGCGUGCCUAACACAUGCAAGUCGAGCGGGAAUAAUUCCUUCGGGAAUUAUUUUAGCGGCGGACGGGUGAGUAACGCGUGGGCAACCUACCAAUUACCGGGGAAUAACAAUGAGAAAUCAUUGCUAAUACCCCAUAAGCUCCCAACAUCGCAUGGUGAAGAGAGAAAAGAUUUAUCAGUAAUUGAGGGGCCCGCGUCUGAUUAGCUAGUUGGAGAGGUAACGGCUCACCAAGGCGACGAUCAGUAGCCGACCUGAGAGGGUGACCGGCCACAUUGGGACUGAGACACGGCCCAAACUCCUACGGGAGGCAGCAGUGGGGAAUAUUGCACAAUGGGGGAAACCCUGAUGCAGCAACGCCGCGUGAAGGAAGAAGGUUUUCGGAUCGUAAACUUCUAUCGAUGGGGAAGAAUAAAAUGACGGUACCCAAGUAAGAAGCCCCGGCUAACUACGUGCCAGCCGCCGCCGUA
rnacentral:rRNA from 1 species